AUUGAACGCUGGCGGCAGGCCUAACACAUGCAAGUCGAGCGGUAGCACAGAGAGCUUGCUCUCGGGUGACGAGCGGCGGACGGGUGAGUAAUGUCUGGGAAACUGCCUGAUGGAGGGGGAUAACUACUGGAACGGUAGCUAAUACCGCAUAACGUCGCAAGACCAAAGAGGGGGACCUUCGGGCCUCUUGCCAUCAGAUGUGCCCAGAUGGGAUUAGCUAGUAGGUGGGGUAAUGGCUCACCUAGGCGACGAUCCCUAGCUGGUCUGAGAGGAUGACCAGCCACACUGGAACUGAGACACGGUCCAGACUCCUACGGGAGGCAGCAGUGGGGAAUAUUGCACAAUGGGCGCAAGCCUGAUGCAGCCAUGCCGCGUGUGUGAAGAAGGCCUUCGGGUUGUAAAGCACUUUCAGCGAGGAGGAAGGCAUUAAGGUUAAUAACCUUAGUGAUUGACGUUACUCGCAGAAGAAGCACCGGCUAACUCCGUGCCAGCAGCCGCCGUAA
rnacentral:rRNA from 1 species